UCGGACAUGGUGUAUGGUAUGCACACCCUUGCUGUUUGGUGACGAGUGAGAAAUUGUAGAAGGGAGGACGGGGUUCGAUUCCCCGUGUCCGAA